rnacentral:rRNA from 1 species
AUUGAACGCUUGCGGCAGGCCUAACACAUGCAAGUCGAACGAGUGGCGGACGGGUGAGUAAUGUCUGGGAAACUGCCCGAUGGAGGGGGAUAACUACUGGAAACGGUAGCUAAUACCGCAUACCAUCGGAUGUGCCCAAAUGGGAUUAGCUAGUUGGUGGGGUAACGGCUCACCUAGGCGACGAUCCCUAGCUGGUCUGAGAGGAUGACAAGCCACAACGGGAAUGAGACACGGACCAGAGUCCUACGGGAGGCAGCAGUGGGGAAUAUUGGACAAUGGGCGAAAGCCUGAUGCAGCCAUGCCGCGUGUAUGAAGAAGGCCUUCGGGUUGUAAAGUACUUUCAGCGAGGAGGCGUUACUCGCAGAAGAAGCACCGGCUAACUACGUGCCAGCAGCCGCGGUAAUUC